GUAUAUUCAUCUCUACUCUGUGCAGUGCCCUAUCCAGAAAGGCGCUCGUUAUGGAUUCUAAGUGUAACGAGUACCUUUCUGGAUUGAGUAAUGUCCAGUAAGGGCAACAUGAGUUGU
rnacentral:precursor_RNA from 12 species